GAUGAACGCUGGCGGUGUGCCUAACACAUGCAAGUCGAGCGAACAGACGAGGAGCUUACUCCUCUGACGUUAGCGGCGGACGGGUGAGUAACACGUGGAUAACCUACCUAUAAGACUGGGAUAACUUCGGGAAACCGGAGCUAAUACCGGAUAACAUGUUGAACCGCAUGGUUCAACAGUGAAAGACGGUCUUGCUGUCACUUAUAGAUGGAUCCGCGUCGCAUUAGCUAGUUGGUAAGGUAACGGCUUACCAAGGCAACGAUGCGUAGCCGACCUGAGAGGGUGAUCGGCCACACUGGAACUGAGACACGGUCCAGACUCCUACGGGAGGCAGCAGUAGGGAAUCUUCCGCAAUGGGCGAAAGCCUGACGGAGCAACGCCGCGUGAGUGAAGAAGGUCUUCGGAUCGUAAAACUCUGUUAUUAGGGAAGAACAAAUGUGUAAGUAACUAUGCACGUCUUGACGGUGCCUAAUCAGAAAGCCACGGCUAACUACGUG
rnacentral:rRNA from 1 species